rnacentral:rRNA from 1 species
GACGAACCGUGCGAACGUUGUGCGGAAUCACUGGGCUUAAAGGGCGCGUAGGCGGCUUGCCAAGUCAGUGGGGAAAUCCUGCAGCUUAACUGCAGAAGUGCCUUUGAUACUGGCGAGCUCGAGGGAGGUAGGGGUAUGUGGAACUUCUGGUGGAGCGGUGAAAUGCGUUGAUAUCAGAAGGAACGCCGGUGGCGAAAGCGACGUACUGGACCUCUUCUGACGCUGAGGCGCGAAAGCUAGGGGAGCAAACGGG